UCUAGGUCUUAUGGGGAGGAUGUGUUUUGUAGGGUUUUAUUCAAGUCAAGUUCCAACUACUCUUAGUGAGAAAUUGAAAGAAAAGUUGUUAUCAUCUGGAAUGGAAUUCUUUCAUGUUCUGAGGUUUUAUCCGGUGAUCAGCUUAGACGGGAGAAUCUCAUACACCUUCACCAGCGAGGGAAUGAACACUGUUACGGUCCAAGUGUCUUCAGCCAACACCAUACUGCAAGACACCAAGACGAUAGCAGUCCCAGAUGCUUCAGCGUUCGCCCUCGGGCUGUCCUGUGAUCGGCUCGUGCUGUCCUGUGUCGGGCUGUCCUCGUUAUCACACAGGUGCGAGCGACUCGGGUUAUUCUUCCCCACGCGAGGCAGCUUGAUGAGCUCGAAUGUCACGUCCUGACCCUUGUAAGAUGUCAUUUUCUAUAGUAGAAUAGGUCAGGGCAUGACAGGGGGUGUUUUUGGGUGGUUUUCUAUGUUUUCUAUUUCUAUGUUUAAUUCUGGGUUUCUAUUUCUACGUUG
rnacentral:lncRNA from 1 species